UCCCGCCCCAGCCGCACCCCGAACUGCUACCUUCGCGCUCUUCCACACACACCACGUGGUUUGGCAGCGCCAAACCGCUGCUCACGCCUCUGUUCUCCUCCGCCAUUCGCCCACUCUCCGGACGAAGCAGCAACCUCUCACCAGGAGCACAACCAUCUCCUCGCCCUGUCCUGAGUGUCAGCUGAGGUUGCAAAAGGGCGAGGCUAAGUCUUGGACCAGAAGUGGCUCGAUACAGAACUCUUGGCACUUUUUCCACUGGAAGUGAGAGCAGGAGAAUGAAAUCCAGAUGCAGAACUCUCAGCUCCUUCUCCAGCACCAUGGCUGCCAGUGUGCUGCCACGCUUCCCGCCAUGAACUGGCCACUCCUAAGUAUUUGUCACAAUUGGACUUUCUUUUUGGAUCCCUUGUGGCCUCUAUCAGGAUUACAAUUUUCUGGAGGACCCAGGGAAAUCAGACCACCUACCUAAAUUCCAAAGUGAGACCUUCACUUCAGGACUCUGGGGCUGAGGGGCCACCUCAGGAGGUGCACACCUUGAGAUGUUCCAAUGCUUCAGGGCAUGCUGUUGGUUUCACAGAUUAUCAGAGUGAACUGCCUUGCUGAGGAAAGCAGCAAGCGUCU